UGCUCGUUACGUAACUAUCGUUGGAAAUUGAGUUGCAGUGAACUGUGAACUGACCUUAUUUCGUUAGCAUCAAGAGCAAACCGUAGCGUCGUUUUCGUUCUCAUUUCUCGUCGAUCGUCAACCACCGUUUCUACGUGCAUUACGUACUGUGUUACACGAAUUUCUCUUUUCUGUGUAUACGCUCGUGUGCAACUAUGUUGCCUAACCUCGAAUUACGAAUUCGAAUUGCAUUUCUUCUAUAUAUGUGUUCAGUGUGUUAAAAUCCAUACGUGUGGCGAAUUUUAUUGUAGGAAAGGUGAAUUGAAAUUCGCGAUAGCGAAACUCCAAAUAAGUUGUUCGACUUUGAAGAUGAGGUUUGGAUUUCCCUGUGGGCAGUGUGAAUAGUGGAAGUCGAAAUUCAUAACGUAAACACAUACAUAUAUACACACACAUAUACAUAUAUGUACAUAUAUACAUACACAAAAGAAAAGAACGUAAUAACUUAUCAAAGUCGGUAUGAAAGGAAUAUCGCGUUUUAACGAACUUUUAUUAUUUUUUUUUUUAUCAUUUUAUUUCAAGAUUAAUAUCAUAGGAAAGUUAUAUUUCAAAUUUAAUUAGAAAUCCAAGUGUUAUGUAUAUUCAUUAAUUUCUCAUUAAUUAUCAAUAGUUUAAAUAUUCGUUAAAAUUUUCAAUAUAUUUUUAUAUCAUCUUUAUAUGCUUUUAAGAGAUAUAAUACAAAGUUGCAAAUUGCAAAUCGCGUAUUAAAAGAGAAACUCGACGAGAUGACGGAGACAGUGAACUUUCAUUAUCAAAAUCGCCGGAAAUUUGAAAUGGGUUGAAGGAUGAAACACGUCCCCCUUCCUUCACCCCUCCCAACCAGCCCAUCCUGUUCUAGCACCUUGAUUCACCCUUUGAUUCGAGACAGGGAAAGGUGAAGUCGGCUGAGAACGACAGGCAACUCGAUCGACGAGAGCAAAGGAACAACUUUUUCAAUUAUAUUCCCUCAGAUCGAUAGAGCGAUUCAUUCCCGAGAAUGAUUCCCGGAUUAUCGAAGGAUUAUCCGUUCACCCACGCCCACCACGCUUUCUUUCCGCGGGUUUUAAUGAAAUGUUUACCAUCGAUCCGUCCAUCGUUCCUUCUAAUCCAUUGAUACUAAUGUAAUACCUCUUUUUACCAAUAUUUCAAAUAAAUCGUCCAGAUCUUUCUGAAAUUUCUUUCAGAAAGAUUAAGAAGGAGAAGAUUCUUUUAAGAAAUUCUAUUUUUUUUUUUUUUUAGGAAUUUUGAAAAAAGUCUUACUUUUCUAAUUUUAAAAAUUUCCAAAAAAUUAUUUAUUUUAAUAAUUAUUUUUACUUUCAGGAUUUGAGUGAUGAAAAUCAGCAAUUAGAUUUUUUUCUUUCUGCGAGUAAUGGUUUGAGUUUUGGUCUUAUUAGAGAUAAAAUUGUUAUUUUUAAUUAUUUUUAGAGAUUCAGUUUGUCUUAACUAAUAUGAGGUACCAUGUACAAUACGUAAAACGUGUAUUAUAUAUUAUUUUUAAGAAUGAAUAAUUAAUGAAAAUAUCAAAAAGGAAGAAGUUUUGAGAAACAUUCUUUGAACGAAUAUAUUAAAAAUCUUGUUGCAAGAUCAUUUUUCUUCAAAAGAAAUCAAAACAUUCUAGUUCGAUGGGAGGAAAAAUGGCGGUAGGCAUGGAACGAUUCGUUUCCUCCUCGAAUAACGUGUCUUCCAUAAAACGUUUCGAUUCCCUCUUCACAAUUUCAUGGAAAGAAGUGGGUGCAAAAAUUCGUUCGUGAUUAUUAAUAGCCGAUUCGAGUUAUAGUGGCAUCAACAACAAAUACCUCGAAUAUGUUCAGAAUAACGAGAGCAAUAUUUGAAGGUGGAAAAACCAGGAAUUUUCCUCCGUCCGGCAAGGAAAAUCCGUCUCGAAGACCUAGGAGGAACGCGUGGAACAAGGGAGACGAGAAUGGAGACAGAGAAAAAGGGAGGAAAAAGGAAGGCGUGGGUAUGGAAGAGGGUAGUUUGGAUGCAGUAGCAAACAGGCAGAUUGGAUUCCCGACUCGAUUUACCGGAAUGCAGAAAUAACAGCUGGCGAGGUCUCCUCGAGGCCGAUCCGGCUUUGCAAUCUUCUCCUCUUUUCUUCCUUCCGCUUUUCAGACAUACGAGAGAAAGCGACAUGGAGCGGACAGAAGAAGAGGAAGAAGAAUGCAGACGCCGGAUUCGAGGGACAGUUCAGUAAAGGUGAACUGAAGAAUGUUUUAUACACAGGAUGGAUUCACAUAACUGGACCAUCCUGAAUAACAUUUAAGGCAUGUGUUCUGGGCAAAAUUGUUUUGUACUGCUAUUUUUAUCGUUGCGUGGAGUUUAUUAUAAAGAAAAUUUAAGAUUUUAAAGAAAGUCUAGUGAAAAUAAAUUUAAAUGUUAAUGAAGUUAAAGAGUAACCAAGCCGUACGAAAGUGAAUAAGCAUAGCAAUGUUCAGACAACUCGUUGGAAGUAGAAACAUCAGUCAAUGAUCGGCCACGUUAUAAUUAACUUAUAACCUAUAUUCUGAAAAUUGUUAUAAUUCCAAUAAUAAUAUAAUAUUUCAAUAAUAAUUUUGCCUACGUUAAAAUCAUAAUUCUAUACUUUUUUUUAUACAAAAAAUUAUCUCAAAGUCUUGUAAGUAGAAAUAACUGACAUUCAUCAGACGCACCAUUAUAUAAAAAGUACUUUACUUUCUCAUUUUUCUAUGAUACAUCAUUUUCUUAAUUAUUUUUCAGUUUUCAUUCAAUCCUUUAAUAAUAUCUUUUAGAUUUUAUUGAUUCUCAAUAUCUCAGAAUCAUCAGUAGAAUAUCUAUACGUUUUACCAUCAACAAUACACGUCGAGAAAACAAUAUGAUCCAUCUCUAACUUUGCUUCCUUUCUUUCACGCUAAAUUCCCUUUAUUCCAUCUGCUUUCAAAAAGAUAAACCGUAAUUCCAGGAUAAAAAGGGACCUUGACCGUCGAAGCUUUGGAUUCAGGGAUUUGUCGAAUCGAACCAAAUGCAAAAACGCAAUUCCGUCAGUAUCACCGCUAGAAGGAGCUAGUGUUUCGCGCAGAUAACGAACGGCGUUAAUUUCUCUAAUCAGUUCCCUUCUCGUCUUCGUCGCCUCUUUCUUUCAACCGACGAUGCAAUUUUCGUGUAACAGCGUCGGCUAAGCUACUCUCUUCCCUGGACUCUUACCACUACUGCCCUCUGCUGUUCUUUGAUCUCACGUUUCUUACUCGCCGUCUCGACUACCGCGUGGAAUAGUUAAUCAACGAGUGAGCUGGGAGAAACGUGGGUCGAAAGUUGUGAAAGUUUUAUUGCAGAGUAGCUUGCGAGCUGGCUUUUAAGUGUUACGGGGGCAUGUUGUAGGUCAGUUUUAAGUAUGUGGCUUUUGGAACGUGAGUAGUUAAGGAGGAAAGUGGUUUGGUGGAGAUUCAGUUUAAAAUUUAUAUGCUUUUAUAUUAGGUUAUUAAAAGUAAAUAAAUCGAAAUAUUGUUGGGAUUAUAUACGAGAAAGUUAGAAUUUAGAAAUUUUAUAAAAUAUAUAUGAGUACAAAGAGAAAUUUAGAAUACGGAGCAUAUUUUUAAGAUCCAUCAACCUCAAACUUGUUUCAAACUGUUUGCAAGAAUAAAAAAAGGAAUCUUUGCUUUUCGUUUUGAUCAAAGUUUCUAUCCGAUGGAUAUAAUGAAACGAUAAAUGAAACGCUUGGAAGAUACGAGGUUAAAAUUUUGACACGAUUUAUAUCAAUAAUGGAAUAAAGGAAACAAGUGAAGAAGCUAUUCAUGUCUGCGAAUGGGAAAAAGUGUUUGACAGCGACUAAUAGUUGGAUUUUGAUUAAAAAAUUUCAUAAGAAAGAGAGAAGCAGUAACUCUUAUUGAAAUAUCAUGUUUAGAAAGAGAGGCAAGCAAGAAAAAUCUAGCGAAUAUAUUUCACGGCGAAUGAAGAAACGAAACGGAGUGGCACAGUUAGAAAAGCAGGAAGCAUAGCGAAAAAUUUCGAUCCCCAUGCGUGUUAGGUUAAACGAUACCCAUACAAGUAAUAUGGGGGGAGCAGGUGAAAUGCUAGAUGAAUUUUAAUUUCAGCUCCAUUACCGCUCGUUCAUAAAACGCCAUUGAUGUCGUUGUUCAACAGUGCGUGCAAAUUCGAGGAGGGAACAUUUGCAUCCUGAUUGAUCUUCAUUGGAAUAAUAAACCAUGAAAUUUACCAAUUCGAAGCCAGGCAUAUCGAAUUUUUUUAUAUGAAACGAUGAAUUCCACGAGAAAUAAACAAGAAUAAAUUCAGAGAAAUAAACAAGAUGAGAUGGAUAUCGAAUUUUUUCCUUUAUUUUCGAUAAUAAAUAAAGAUGCAUAAAAUAUACACAUAGAUUUGAUAGAUCGAAUAGAAAGAAUACAAUUUUAACAAAAGAAGAAAAAGAAAAAAAAGCAGAUUAUAUAUUUCGAGUUGGGGAAACUGAAGUCCAAGGAACUGAAUUUCAAGCGAGCGUCUCGUCUCUUCAACCGGAUCUGCAACUCGAUAAUGAGUUAUUGUAGCAUAAACUGUGGAUUAACGGGCAGAACUGUGGAUUUUCCUGUGGGGCGGGGAGGGGGAAGGGGAGGAGGUGCGGCGAUAAAUUUACGGAGACCGGCGUAAAUAAGAGCCACCUAGUGGCUGAUCGACGAACCUAUUCGUACAUAAUGGAUGAAUUAACUGUAUUUUGAUUCCCGCGCACAGGCGGCCUUUUCAAUCGCGGCCGUUUCCGCGUCACCGCGAACCGCAUCAGCGAAUUUCUGAACGUAGCCGCGUGCAUACACGAUUCGCCACAAACCAAAUUCGAGUCCACUAAAUUUCUAAAAAUCUAUGAUACGGUUAUUGAUGGAACGACGAAUGCCUGUACUACAAUUUUAUUAUUUGUUUUUUUUUUUUUGGUCGGCUGAUGUUUGAGGUUAGGUCAGUUUGAUCGUAUAUCGAUGCGUGUAGCGUCACAUUCUGCUUUAUGAAUUACAUUAUGCACUUUUAUCUAUUACACCAUUCUUAUCCCAAUACCUUCCUUCGAAUAUAAUCCAUUAAUUGCAAUUUUCAAGGUAAACGGAUAAGAAAAAAAAAGUAGAGAGAGAAAGAGAGAGGAGGAAUCGAGAAACGCUUCUUAAAAUUCACGAAGUUUCCCUGUAAGCUUAUUAGUUGAUUGAAUAUUCUACCGUUAUAUUGCGUUUACUUACUGGCGAAGUAAGCCAGCAUCGCUGUGAGCGCAACAGCGAGGAGGAUCAGUGCAAUCGAGAAACACUUCCAGGAGCAUCUGUGCUGGCACCGUUUGUCGAUGUGAAAACGUGACGGCGAAUACGGUGAAUAAUGCGGCACCGCUGCAGCGCGAAGUGGAAAUCCUGGCAUUACCAUGGCUUGACCUUGGGCGCCCACCGUGCCUGUACCACCAUUUCCAGCGGCUGCCCCCAAACCACCACCCAGAGAGCCGACUGUCACCUGCUGCUGCGGCGGAGGAAGCCUGUAACACGUAACGAAAGCGAGCAAACGUUAUUCAUCACCGUUGUUGAUUAAUUAUUUAUGCGGGUUGUUUGGUAUCAACGGGGGAUUUUUUUCUUUUUUUUCUUCAACAACAAAAAUAAGACGAAAUUAUUAUAUUAUCCAUUUGCCUAGACACGAUCAUAUGAUGAGCGAGCUUUUUCAACUACCUUUCAUGGAAGAGACGCGUUGAAGCUGAAGGAGACGUCAAACCUACGUCAAGGAUUUUAUUUUCAUCACAGGCGAUAUUUAUCUUGAUCGGUAUCGAGAGGGUACCUCUUCUAUCCAGGAAACCUCGUGAAAGAGGCAACGUCGAAACAGGGAUUCAAUACAGGGUAUUAUGAACAAGUAACUUAACCAGGAUUUUACUCAACGUUUCGAAAUGUCUGCGCAUACGUUUCUAGAAUUCAGGAUGAUGGAUAUAAGAGAGAUUUAUAAAAGUAGUCAUCAGUUCGACGAUUUAUCACGUUUGUUCGAAGAUUAUAAAUUGACGGAAAUUAAUUUUCUCGAAUUGUCAACGGGUAGAGAUCACCAAGUAUAUUCACAAUUCCACUUUUAAUUGCAAUUAUUUUUUACAAAAUUUUAAGGAACGUAUAUUUAAGAAGAGAUUUAAUCAUUCGAUCAACGUAUUUGAAACUAUCUAAUAAAUUUCACGCAAGAAGCAUUAAAAUAUUCUGAUAUUCCGAGCGGCGAAAAUUCGACGGAAGAAUAAUGCCAAGGCAAUGGUCGGAUGAAAAUCGAGCUAAGCGGCUGCACGAACUUAACAAUACCACCCCGAAGCGCCAAUAUUGAAUUUUCCGCUUAAGAUUCAACCGAGCUUCCAACGAUGGGCAGGUGUUGUAACAACGGGACGGAAUUACGCGGCCUGAAAACGACGCAAAUUGGGCCACGGCCUGCCGCUGGUCGCCCCUUCGAUCGAACAAAAUGGCGAAUGAAUAUUUAAACCUAGGACGAACAGAUAUAAUUUUCGUAAAAGGAGAAGCGAGGCGAAAAUUUUAGAUAUUUGAAUAUAUAAUUUUAAUUCUCUUCGUUUUCACGAAUUAGUUUCGAUCCUCAAGAUUCAACGCGAAAGAAAGAUUUCAAUAACAUCUAUCUGUCAUAAGAUAAGCUUACGAAACUUGUUACAAAUAUAUUAAAGAAAUAACGAGGCGAAUUUAUGAAACGAAAUUUCAAAGGAAUUUUCAACCAUAAAGUUCGCUCUCUGCCAUUAUAUCAUAUUCUUUUUUUAUCAAUCUCGCCGAGACUCGAAAGGGAGGGAUCAUUAAGAUGUUUCACGUUGCUCGUGUAACGUAUUAGUUAUUUAACAACGCUCGAUAAACAUCAUAAAUAAUUGGAAGUUCUUACCGAGCCUAUAAACGUCUGCUCAUAUUUCUUUGGACCGGGAAGCAAUCGGUCGAGGCAAAGCAAGGGAUCGAAAGAAAGGGUAUGAGCAACGUGAAGGUAAGAGAGCAAAACGAAAGGAAGGAGGAACGAAGAGAGGGAGAAGAAAAGCGAAACAUCACUGGCAGAGGGCCCGACGUCGGUGCUUUACCGACCGAGCCCGACGGAAGAAACAAGCGAAAGAAUAGCAGCGAGCGAUAAAUAUUGCUUUUUCUUUUGGAGAUCAUUAAGUUGAGAACAGACGGCGGUAGAAAAUUAAUUUACUAAAAGUAUCGGCGGAUUCGGUCGCAAAAACGAGUCGGCGAAAGAACUUUAAUGGCGAAAUAAUGGGGGUCUUAAAAGUUGGACGAUAGCCAGUGACAUCUUUAUUCGAUCUCGGAAUCGUCGUCUCGCCCAAAGACUUCCCUCUUUGUUACGCUUUCCCAGUGUGUCGCCAUUGUUUGUCUCCGCGAGUCGCGUGCAACUCAUCGUGAAAAAAUGCGUGGCUUAAUGAACUUGAUCGUGGCGCUUCUAUCGAGUUAUAUUUCACUCGCUACGUGUCCUUGGUCAACGAACUUUUCCUCGUUCGAAAACGACAUGAUAUUAUUAGUAACGAGAUCGUAUAAUGGAUAUUCAUACAUGUUGGAUAUUUUUUGUACAUUUGUAUAUGAAUCGAAAAAGGAACAUAUAACGAACAUCCCAUUUUUUGAUAAUGAUAUUUUUAAGCGAGUAUAUUCGUUUCAUGCGACAAAAUAUUUCUGGGUCUCGUUAACUUUGUUACGAAUCGCUGAUGGAAAAUUCUUGUACACGUAUAAUGCGUACAUUUGAUACGAUAAUAACAAAGGGAACUUUGACGAAGCAAGUUGCACUUCAUUGUUUCGUCGAAAGUUAAUUGCAUACGUUUGUUGUAGAACCAAGUUGAACGAUUAUAUAAUGAAUAAUGAAUGAUAAUGCCAUAUUAUCGUACCACUCGAUACUGGUACAACUAUGGUCGUACUUCAUUUAUUAUCGUUGUCCAAUCGAUAAACAUAACCUCUUUUUUUAACUACCGCAACAAAACGUAUAAUAUAUUCAUAAAUAGUAGUAAGUAGAUAAUUACGAUUAUUGUAGAUCCCAGAUAUUAAAUGUUUAAUAUAAUUACUGUAACGUUUACAAUAUCUAGAAAAUGACACAAUGGUUUAACGCAAUGUUUUAAACGGUUUAAAUGAAAAGCGAGUUUGGCACUUCCUCUUUUCACCGUUCCAGAGUGUAGUUGUCGCCGUGAUUGAAUAAAGCAAAGGGCCAUGUUUCCAGCUCGAACGUUUAAUUGUGAUCGGAAACGCAAUUCCGUAACGCGCAGCACUAAUCAACACCCGCGGCGCGAAUAAAGCUUUAAUGAGAUUGCGAGUGUAGUGAGGGGAGGGAGCGGAGGCGGAGACAGACAAGGGCGGCGAAUUUUCUUCCGACGGUGACAAAUAAAUACAGCUUAGGUUAAGAACCUUCAGACAGCUGUACAGCCGUUUCACUACGGACAACCAGAUUCCUGAUUGCACGUAACGGACAAAUGAAGCGAGGGGGGAGAGUAGCUGAAAACAAGAUGAACGACUGCAGUGGAGGAGAAGGAAUGGACUGGAAACGAGAACGAGAGGGGAAAAACAUGGCGGAAGAACGAAGGUACAACGUUCCAAAGCUUGCACAUCCGCAUUUCAUCUACCUUCGCGUCUCCUAUACGUGUUGCCAACCGUUCAAUGUUCACGUUGGCACACUUGCGCGUCCGUCUACGACACCUACACCGAUUAAGGGAAUUGACCAGCUAUCUGAUAUAUUGGAAGUUAAAAGGGUAAUUGCGCGUGGCGUUACUGUCACAUAUUGAGUCGAGUGUUGUCUGAGUGGAAGAUUGGAGCGGGCCCGAGGAUAGGGACGAGCGUGUGAUCCAAUUAUGAUGUAACGAACGCGUCAUUACUCGGAACACGCUCGACAACGAGGCGCAUAAGCUCCGAAUUGUGGUCAGGCAUCAAACGUUCUUUUCUCUGGAGACCCGAUCGCUUUGUUAUGACUCGUCCCUCUCCGUUGUUUCGACGAUUAAGAGCGAGAAAGGAAGGGCGAGGAUGACUAAGAAGGAUAAAACAAAAUAUACGAUUCGAAGAAAAGCAGUUAUAGUUGACCUUUUAAAAAUAAAGUCAUACGAAUAAUUCGUACAUUGAACGAGGUCAUUUUUUUUUGUCUCGUACAACAAUUUUAAAUUGUUCCAUCGAAAUCAUUGUAUACAGAUAUUUGUUAUUUAUUUAAAAAAAAUAUAUUAAAUUAUUUUAACGGAA